AUAUUAUUCCUUCUACGAAAUUAUCCAAGUAUAAAAUUGCAGUACUUUCACCGAGCCGGAGGUAUUCAUCAACCACUUCAGCCGCACAACCAUAUGCCAUCAUAUGAAUUGCUGCUGUACACUUUUCUAUUCUAGAGAGACCAAACCUUCCAAUAGCAUCUCUUCUUUGUCGAAAGAAUGAAACUUCAUGGGAGACUCGAUCAACAAUACGCAUGAACAAAGGUUUGUUCAUUCUAGAACGGCGUCGAAAUAUUUAUGGAGGGUAUUAAACAUAUUGUCGAAUUUUUGAUUGAAGACUUCAUCAAAACUUUCAUCAAGCAUCCGUCGAAAGCAUUGCUUGAAGAAGAUGCUAUAUUUUGUGAAUUUAUUUUUGUUUGAUGGAGAAACAAGAGAAGAGUUGGAGUUUGAUAGGGAAAUAAUAGAAGAGACGAGUUGGAGUUUGAUAGAGGAACAAAAGAAGAGAAGAGUUGGUGUUUGAUAGAGAAAUAAAAGAACGGUUUUCUAAACACAUAUAUAGGAAAUAAAUGAUCGAUUGUUUUACAACACAUAUGUGGUUUACAAUACUCUCAAGAAAUGUUUGUGGUUUACAAUACCCUCAAAAUUUUUUGGUUUACAAUACUACAAAACAAAACCAAAUGGAUCCAUACAAUGAUCAAUAAAACAACACAGGAAACAAAACCCGUGAUCUAUAUUGCCUAUCUUUAGCCUUCACCUCUUUGGAAACACGGGAAAUAAAACAACUCAAUAAUACAAUGCUCUGUGUAUUAUAUCUUUGGCCUUCACCUCUUUUUGCUCAUUGAGAGGUCCAGCUGACAAAGAACAACAAAACCCAUAUUCGAAAUCCAAAACCCAUAUCAGAAACCCAUAUUGUUAAAGUGGUGAAAAAAGAAUAACACACCAACCAGCUUAAACAUAGACUGAGAGAGAGAGAGAAAUUGAACCUGUACAUAUGGAGAUAGAUGCGAAUGACUCAGGAAUCUUUUUACUUAACUACCUUCAUUCUAAGAACAGAGCUCUUCAUUCUCUAUAAUAUAGAACAACGUAUACAACUAAGAAACACAACAAAAAACAACAAACUCUUCAUUCUUAAUUACUAUCUUUCUCUAAACUCUCACUCUCUAUAUUAGAAAGUUUUUAGAAAGGAAAAGUUUUCAGAAAGUUCUUACAAGGAUAGGUGUUUUACGGUUUAAGUGUUUCUAGUGCAAGCACCAUUAUAUAGGCGGUAAUGGUUAAUUUUUUUUUGGCAAUCAAUGACAAGCAUUGAUCACAAGAGCUUUAACUCUUUAACAUAAUCUAAACUACCAAGCAUUGAAAACAAAGACCUUAAAGUCUUCACCUAACAAACAGCUAACAAGCAUUUAUCCUAAAGCCUAUCUAACCGAUUAUUACUACUAUCCUUCUGCUAACUAUGUAUGCUAACUAAGAGUUAGGAAGAUGACUUACCUUGCUUCAUUGCUGUAAAGGAAUUGGUGGGAGCUUCUAUGAGCAUCUAUUGUUGUUUCUCCAUUUAACCUAACAAAAAAACUGAGAAAUGUGAUCAAAUACUUCAACAAAAACCCAAAACAUACCAUAUUCAAUCAUACAUAUAAAUUAAAUCUACCAAAAAAACCAAGCAUCGAUUUUAUAACAAAGAUAAAUGAAGAUGAAUUACCGUGCUUCAUUGCGUAAAAGGAAUCCUCCUCAAGCUUCAAGAAGAAUCUAUCGUUGUUUCUCCAUUUACCCUCAUCAAAAACAAAGAACCAAAAACUUAGCAUAUGCGGAAAAAAAAACUUAGCAUAUGCGGAAAAAAAAACUUAGCAAAUGCGAUCAUAAAACCAAAAUCAAACAAUAUAUGCCUAAAAUCAUCUUCAAACUACCCUAAUCUCAACUAUUAUUGAAUCAAAUUACCCUAAUCUCGCUUACACCAAAUAUGCAUAAUUUUUUCUUCAAACCACUAAACCCUAAUUUCAAUCUCAAUAAACAAAACUUUAUCUAGAACUACAACGAAAUCUAGCAUAUAAUCGUACCUUGACAAAGAGAAGAGAGAAUCCUUCAUUAAAAAGCCCCGAUUUUGUCUUCAUAUCUCCAAUUUGAUGUGGUUGAAUGCCGUUGGAAGACAAGAAAAACGUCAGCCAAAAAUGAAGAGAAGAAAAAGUGGUCGAAAGAAGGAGAGAGACGGUCCAAAAAAAUUUUGAGAAGAAACCAAUGAUCAAGCAACAGCUGUCCUAAGAAUCCUAUUAAGACAACGACAAAGCCCAACACACAACCAUCGGAUUCUUCGUCCAGCUUAUAACGGUCAUCAAUUAAUUGAAAACGACAAAGGCCUUGAUUCCUUGGAAACGAAAUUGUUAUACAUCUGUUCAUAAUAACUAGGAUUUAUUAGGGUUUUACUUCUUUGUAUAACUAAGAUAAGUCUGCGAUUGCAAAAUUUGAAGGGUAACAGAUCUACUUUCAUGGUAUCAGAGCCAUAAAUAACAAUUCCAUGGAGCUCUAUUCUGCUAUGUCAUUAAGUAUCACAAAACGCAACUACAUUCUCUGAAACCUCAGUUGAGUAAUCCUUGUCUGGUCGAGCUCUUCUGGGGUUUGUAACCAGAACCCUCCCCCUAGAGCUCCUUUUGUCGUUCCUCAAAUUAACAGCAAUAUAAAAAAACACCAAAUCUUUAUUACCAAACAUGGUUAAGAACAUAUCAGGUGGUCCUGAUCAUGGCUUCUCGGCUCUAUUUCAGAAAACAUCCAAAGUGUUAUUAUCAGGUGCAUCACUUCUCAUGAGAUAUGGGCCACUCUUACUAAACACUUUUAUAGAGUCUCAUGUUCUAGACUAUCUGAAGUCCAAUGUCUGUAUGAGUCUAUUUUAUAGAGUAUCAUGUUAGAUGAGAAGAAAAAUUCCCUGGCCUAAAUUGAUAUUAUCAACAUCCUUCGCAUAAUUGCAGACGAAAGGUUUCGCUUUUUUUAGACAAACCCACGUGGAGAAGAUUUUAGAAAUAGGGUUUUGCGUUAGGGGUUUUUUUUUGGCGAUUUAGGGUUCUCAAGGUUCUGUCUCACUCCAGGUGCCGCUGGUGUCGCUGCUCUCGGCGAGGGAGCAUGGCAUCACAGGGGACAGAAUUUGAGUCUCCUCGAUCUUCUGGUUCUCCGUCUCCUACUUUAUGGGCAAAUAUUUUCCAAAAUAAGAACACUCUAUCCAAGUAUGAUAUUUAAAUUUCAGUUAAAGAUGGUAAGAGAUCAGUGGAAGUCCCUCAGGAAGUUUAUGAGGCAACAUCGCUCUGGGACAACUUAGUUGUAGUUUAUAUCCUCGCACCAGUGCCUCAUGUUGUGAAGAUUCACAUGAUUGGCAAUAAGAAUUGGUCUCUAGGAGACAAAUCUCAAAAGAUCGACGUUCACGUCAUAAACGAUUCAAUCGUAAAGUUCAAAAUCUUGAAUCCAACUCUCUGAUCCAGAGUUCUACGCCAUGUCAUGUGUAAAAUUGCUGAAAUUCUGAUGGUGGUCGCUAAGUGGUCACCAAUAACAGAAGACGCUGAGCCAGAGGUGAAAUCAUUACCACUUUAGGUGCAUUUCAGAAACGUUCGACCAAAUAUGUUUUCCUGGAAAGAGCUCAGUUUUAUCACAAGCACAGUUGAUAUUCCUGAACGUCUUAAUCCGGAAACAGCAGCAUGCUCAACCUUGAGAUUGUUAAAGUUUUUGUUGAGGCAUACUUGACAAAAGAGCUUCCUGAAGUGAUCAACUAACAAUUCAAAGAAGGAAUGGAAUCAGAUGUGGAGUUUAGGUAUCCACGACUACCACCUAAAUUUUCAAAUUGUGGAAAGUGGGGACAUCUAAAUACAAUUUGUGUUGUCAACUCAGAUUCACUGUCUAAGGCUAUUGCUGUAGAGAGUGGGAUAAAAAAGGGAAAUAAGAUAACUGAGGAAACAAAACAGGUUACUAAAACAAAUGUUCAAGCUGUUAUUCAACCAGAUGGAGUGGGAAUCAAAGCAAUCGAAGUAGUCAGAGAAUUGGGGAACCAACACUACUGGUGUUGCCUGAAGAACAAUGUGUCAUUCCACUAGUGGAUAACAUGCAACAAAUUGAAGAAAUUUGGUCUGAAGUAUCACCAGGGAAAGCCUAUCGAAGCUCGGGAAAGAAGAAUUAAAAUUUGAAGUUUGGACAGGUUAAACUCUUAACUUACUCCCAAUUUGAAACUCUGGGCAAGGCGGGAGAAGAGGGUAAACGGUUAAAUGAAGAACAAAUGGCAGAAGUUGAAGCAUGAGAAGAGAAAGUAGAUGAUUCACCUAUUGAUUCAUCUUCAUUCGACUUAGCUCUUACUAGCAACGUCAAAGAAAAGAAAACUGCAAAAUAAAUGUAAACGGUACAAGUAUUAGAGCUUCUCUGCCUCAUAAAUCCAAAAACGAUCACAAAUAUCUCUCGGCUACACAAUCUCAAAAAGCUAGGGUUAACCUGGUAUUGGAUGGAGGAGACAUUCCAAACAAAAUCAUUAAUGACGAGUUUCUUUUGGAAUAGUCGAGGUUUCAACAAAAUUUCAAAGCAUAAGGUGGUUCGCAAUUGGAUUGAGAAAUCUUCUUUGCAGUUUGGUUGUAUUUUGGAAACACGAGUUCGGGAGAAUAAAUCAUAGAAGAUUUUUUAUUCAGUAUUUUGGGAUCUAUCGUGUAUAUCUAACUAUGAAUUCAGUGGUUUGGGUCGUAUAUUGGUUGUAUGGUGGGAUGGCGUAAGGCUCAUGCCAUCCAAAAUGGACAAAUAAUUACUUAUUUGUUCGGUUUGUUUGGAGAACAAAGAAGAUAAAUUUUUCUAUUCAUUUAUCUAUGCAUCCAAUUUUCCUGAGGAAAGAUGUGCUUAAUGGGAUGACUUGAAAGCGCAUUAUGACUCAGCAAUAUUCAAUGGCAAGGCUUGGAUCCUGUACGAGGAUUUUAAUAAGAUUAUUUUGGGAUCACUCAAGAUAUGAUUUAAAUCCUGUUAUUUUCCAGGGAACACAGGAUUUUCAAGACACAAUUGACUAUUGCUCCCUUUGGGACUUGGGGUUUAACGGUCCAAAUUGCACAUGGUGCAACAAAAGAGAUGAGGGACUGAUCUACAAGAAACUAGACAGGGUAUUGGUAAACGAGGAGUGGUUGGAGGGAUUCCUGAGAUCAUAUAGUAUCUUUGAAGAUGGUGGAUGUUCAGACCAUCUGUGAUGCCGGAUUCAUGUAACGCUGAAGAGCAACAAAAGAGAAAACCAUUUAAAUUUGUUAAUGCAUUGGUGGAUUUGCUAAAUUUCUUGCCGCUUGUUGAAGACUUUUGGUUUGGAACAGAGGAGUUAUUUCAAUCGACGUCCGCGAUGCUUCGAUUUUCAAAGAAAUUAAAUACUUUUAAUCCAUAUCUUCGUGAUCUUCAAAGACAACAGAUAGGAGAUAUCUUUCGUUGAACAUAGGAGGCCUAUGAGCCUGUGUGACAAACAAAAGUUUACUCUGUCAAACCCGAUAACCACUGAGAUCAAGGAAGAAGUAGAGGCUUAGCUGAAGUGGGCUAAAUGAUCUGCUCAAAUUUUAAUCCCUAGAGCUACACUGUAAGAGCAUAUAUGCAAUUGUAGUAUAAUAAGUGUCAAACCACAGAGACUCGAGAAUCACACAAUAAACUAUAUAGGUUUGAAUUCAGCUAAGUAAAACAAUGAAUUGACAGCAGUAAUGUAAUCAAAAGGGUUGUAAAAUUAAUGAGAAAUAAUAAACUUAGAGUGUUUCUCUGGAAAUCAAAGAAUGCAGAUAAAUGAAUCAGUCAGGAUUCAGAUUAAGUGUGGUUCUUGAACUCAAAUCACUAAAUUAUAAACAACCAACUUUCAUUGCGAGAAUUAUCUAAGUUUAAAUCCCAAAAUUUCAAAUUUCUUUGCAAAUCUUAAAGACUAAACAAGCUUUAAGUUCAGGUUUAAUUUGUUUCACAAAAUAACUAAACCAAAUUUCUUUGCAGGUAGUUAUUUUGCUAACCCUAGGUUCUAUCAGAUUAUCAAUCACACUUUCGUGUCAAAUCGAUAACCUAAGAUCUAAGUUCCAGGUGAUCAGUCUAGAAUUAGCUAAAAUAAUAACCUAUAGUAAAGAACUAAUCAGAUGAAUCCUAACAAACCAGUAAAUCUAGCAUUCAAAGAGAUCUUUUAUGAGAACUCUAAACCUAACAAACUACUCAGAUAUAGAGAUUGAAACGAUAAACAUGAUUAAAUAGAUUGAAAAUAAUAAUUAUGAGUUUAAGAAAUAUGGGUUCAAGAUCUUUUCUUAGAGUCUUAGACUUUUCUCCCAAAAAGCUCUCUCAAAUCUCUUCUCCAAGUAUGAAAGAUAAAAUCAAAGUUAGCCAAAACAGGUGGCUGAAAAACCUCAUUAAAAGCUAAAAACAUGAGUGGAACCUUCUUGUAAAUAUUAAAAACUUCUAGGCCAAAUGCAGAAAUCUUCAAAAAACUUGUAAAAAGACGAGAUUUCCUUUUUCACGAAAUCGGUGUCAAGCGACACCAAUAGUGGUGUUGAUCGACACCAAGGGAAGAAAUCGUCUUUCACCGCAAUUGAUUUUUGCUUGGCUCCAAAAUAUUCAAAAAUCUCCAAUUAUGCUCCAAACGCACCUAGAUCUAUUAAAACUUCAAAAGACUCAAAAAAUACUAUAAAGGCUUUAUAGAUAAAACCUAUAUCAUGGUCAAAAACCACAAAACCCAUGAUAUAUCAGUAAACUAGCAGACUUUGAAGAGAAUUUCUCAAGCAGACAUCUAAAUUUCAUUGGAUGGAUGUUUGUGAUAAAAACAACAAAGUUUUUCACCGCGCAGCAACGGUCUGGAAGUCAAAGAACACCAUCCAAGAGAUUCUUGUUCAAAUGGUUUGACAGCAACUUGUGCUGAUGAUAUAUAAAAAAGGCUGAAUCAUACUUUCAAGAAUUUUUAACUCUGAAACCAGAAGAGUACACGAGAAUUUUCGUGGAACCAUUACGAGACUUGCUUAACUUCAAUUGCUUCCAAGUCGAUUAAGCUUGGUCAACGUGGGAAGUCUCUGAAGCUGAGGUUAAGGAUGUCAGAUUUUUGAUGCCAAACGACAAAUCCUUGGGCCCAGAUGGCUUCACUAGUAAAUUUUUCAAAUGAGCAUGGCAAGUGAUUGGCAGAGAUCUCACAGUUGCUGUCCAAUCUUUCUUCAGAUUUGGGUAUCUACCUAAAGGCAUCAACACCAUUAUCUUAGCUUGAUCCCCAAAAAAGAUGAUGCCAAACAGAUGAAAGAUUGCAGACCAAUUUAUUGCUUUAAUGUUCUCUAUAGGCCAUCUCAAAUAUCCUUGCCAAUCGUUUGAAGGAAAUAUUCCUGAAGUUUGUUGCGCCAAAUCAAUCUGCAUAUUUCCAGAACAGAUUUCUGAUUGAGAACCUGUUCCUAGCUUCUGAAUUGGUUAAAGACUAUCACAAACCUUCGAUAUCAUCUUGCAGUGCGCUUAAAUUGAUAUAGCAAAGGCUUUUGACUCUGGACAAUGUCUUUCUUGAUAAAUACGAUGCUGGCUUAGACAUCCCUCAUGUCUUUGUCCACUGGAUCAAUCUAUGCAUAUCUACAACAUAUUUUCGGUUCAGAUUAAUAGGGAGCUUGCGGGUUUUUUUAGAAGUGAAAGGGGGCUGAGACAGGACUGAGCUCUUUCACCGUAUCUAUUUUUCAUUAAUGUCCUGUCCAAUGUUGGUGGUACGCUCCGCUACCCGGUUCGGAUCGGUUAAAGAUCGAGACCGGCCCAAUUGAUCCCGGUUUACGACAGUCUUAGCCGAAAUGGGCCUGGCCUGACAGCACGGCCCAUAAGAGAAAAGUCCAGCGACAAGAGGCGGUGAGAGCUGAACGAGAAGCCCUCGAACUUCUCCUCGUUUAUGUACUAUAAAUAGUAGAAUUUUUACUGUAGAAGGAAUCUUUUUCGACCCGGAGAAUAGAGACCUCAAUAUUAUUGUAUCGAGUUCGUCGAGAGACCUCCGAACUGAAUGAACUGUAAUUGAGAACUUAAUAAAAUACAAUCAAUUUAAUUUUCCGAACUCGAAUUACCGAACCGACCCCAGAUAGUUGAGAACCACAAUCAACAAUUGGCGACCACCGUGAGGCCGAUUCGGUAAUCGACCUCGAAGACAUGACGACUGAUGAUGGACAACCGACCUCAGUCUAGGUCGGGAGUCAAAUGACCUGCGCAGAUGACCCCACCCAGGUCGGAGGACAUACAGGGGAAGGCGAACACAGCCCCGUGUGACCUCAACCUGGAACACAACAAAUCAGGGCAGAGCCGAGCUCAAGCACCGGGGCUCACCAGGCUUCGCCAGCUGCCUUCGAUCCAACCGCACUCAUGAACGCUUUCGCUGCUCAAAUGCAAGAGCUAGUCCGAAGCAAUGAUGCCAAAUUCGCGACUCUCACCGCGCAGAUCUCUAGCCUGCAACAAGAGAGCCCGCUUCGACGACGGAACCUCAUCAGCGACUUCCAGGGAGAGCGAGACCUGCAGUGCACGGUGGCACGGUCGGUGAUACAGCAGCAGCAACAGUCCGAAAGCCCGUCCCAACAUAUACGAGCUCAACCGACGGCGCGCGACCUGGAAAUCGAACGGAUGCAGGCCCAACUGCGAGAGAUCAGUUCCAAAUUUCACCAAGCCACCAGUUCGGCACCUGAAAUUGACCGCGUAAUCCAGGAAGCACAGAAAACACCGUUCACUUCCCGGAUCACCAACGUCCCCGUCCCUAACCUCGAAAAGUUUAAACUACGUUCAUACAAAGGGAACUCGGACCCGAGGCAUUUUCUUACCUCGUUCGGCAUCGUGAUCAACCGAAUGAAGUUCAACUCGGCCGAGCAGAAGGACGCGAUCCAAUGCCAACUGUUCGUUAAACACCUCGAAUGCAUAGCUUUGGAUUGGUUCUCAAGAUUAGAAGCCGACUCCAUUGAUAACAACAAGGAGCUUUCAACUAAGUUCGCAAAGCAUUUCUCGAUGUUCAUCGGGCAGAAAACCCGUAACUCCGAGCUGUGGGAGAUAUCACAGGGUGAAAACGAAUCACUCCGAGACUUUAUGGCGCGUUUCAAGCAGAUCGUGGCGCACUGCACGGUGGACGACGAAGCCGCCCUCGAAGCUUUAUACCAGAAAACUUGGUACAAAUCACCUUUUCAUAAAGAACUUCGCAAGAACAGACCCCUCACCCUUGAGGACGCGCUCCACAAAUCAAACAUCUUCAUCGCGGAAGAAGAAGAAGAAGCCGCCAAAGAUCCGCAGUACUCAGCGUCAAAGCCCGACCAGACCUUGACCACCAAAGAUAAUUCGGAAACGAAAGUCCAGUCCGGCAAACCGCACGGAGUAGUGAACCAGGCAGGACCGUCAAACCAAAAGUCAGGACGGCCACCAAAAUCUUGGAACACGUGGAAUAGAGAAGAUGAUACGCCACUAAGUGAACGUUUUUGCGAGUAUCACGAGCGAUAUAGGCAUAGCACGGAGGAAUGCCGACACCUGAGGGACUUCCUACUUCAACAGUUCCGCAAGGGCGAGAUCGACACCGCAGAUUUGCCUAAACCGGGACCCCGGCGGCCAAACCCGCGACCAAACAAACCCGGCAAUCAAGAAGCUGGUAAGGCAGCCGACUCUGAUGAAGAACAGGUCGCUCCCCCUAAACGAGACCGCGAAGCACCUAAUAGAGAAACGAAUGUACCCAAAACCAGGAAGAAAGUCAAUAUGAUUAUGGGAGCCCUCGAAUCAUGCAACUACUCCGUCCGAGCCCUCAAAGAGUACAGCCGGCAGGCAUCGAGUUCGCAACCCCAGACAACGGUCACAACCGUACCACUGUUAUUCACCGACGCCGACCUACGGGGAGUGCAUAUGCCUCACAACGAUUGCCUCGUCGUUGAGCUUCAGCUCGGAGACGUCAAAGUAAGCAGGAUAUUAAUCGACACGGGGAGUUCGGUAAACGUCAUAUCCAAAGAAACACUCAAGAAUAUGGAUUUUCCGGAUUCUGAGAUCAAGCCUUACAUGGAAUCAUUGACCGGGUUCACCGGAGAGAAAACAAGAACAGUGGGAACGGUGAAAAUACCCAUUUAUGUCGGCGGGUCAGCCCGAAUGAUCAAGUUCUUAGUCCUCAACAAACCGGCAAUAUAUAAUGCGAUUUUGGGAACGCCAUGGCUGUUCGACAUGAAGGCCGUCGCUUCAACGUUCCAUCAGUGCGUCAAGUUCUCGACCCCGUCAGGGACUUUCACCCUCAAAGGAAGCCAGACCGCGUCCCGUUUAUGCCAUCUAACCGAGUGCAAACUCAGUCUCACACGGAGAUGCGUCAUCAGCCCCUUUCAGGAAGACCGUGCGGCCGCAGUAAGCCAGUUCGGUCCACCUAAACAGAGCCGAGUUGACCAAGUCUGCAUUGACCCGACAGAUCCGGAAAGAUGUGUUGGCAUAGGGGCCGAACUCGACAACAAUAUUCGAGAAGCACUCAUCAGUUUCCUCCAGAAGAACGUCUCCACGUUCGCAUGGACCAUCAGCGACAUGCCGGGAAUCAAUCCAGAUAUCACUUGCCACGAGCUAAAUAUCGAUCCAACAUACAAACCGAUCAAACAGAAGAGACGCAAGCUUGGACCCGAGAAAGCACGAGCGGUUAAUGACGAGGUCGAAAAAUUUCUCAAAGCCGGUUCGAUCACAGAAGUUUGGUACCCGGACUGGCUAGCGAACCCUGUAGUCGUGAAGAAAAAGAAUGGAAAGUAGAGGAUUUGCGUCGACUUCACCGACCUGAAUAAAGCUUGUCCCAAAGAUAGUUUCCCACUACCACACAUUGAUCGAUUGGUAGAGACAACUGCUGGCAACGAACUGUUAUCUUUCAUGGAUGCCUUCUCGGGGUAUAACCAAAUACUAAUGCAUCCGGAUGAUCGGGAAAAGACUUCGUUCAUCACAGAUCGAGGAAUCUACUAUUAUAAGGUCAUGCCAUUCGGUCUCAAGAACGCGAGAGCCACAUAUCAAAGACUCGUGAACCGCAUGUUCGCCAGUCAACUCGGAAAAACGAUGGAAGUAUACAUUGACGACAUGCUGGUUAAAUCCCUGCACGCCAAGGACCACAUAUCGCACCUGUCGACGUGUUUCAACAUUCUAAACGAGUACGGGAUGAAACUCAAUCCUGCCAAGUGCACCUUCGGCGUAACAGCAGGCGAGUUCCUCGGUUACAUCGUCACUGAGCGCGGCAUCGAGGCUAACCCAAAACAGAUAUCCGCAGUUUUGGACCUACCUUCCCCGACCUCUAAAAGGGAAGUGCAAAAACUCACGGGCCGAAUCGCCGCUCUGAACAGAUUUAUCUCCAGGUCGACCGAUAAGUGCCUGCCUUUCUAUCAGUUGUUACGAGGUAACAAGCAUCAUACUUGGAGCACCGAGUGCGAAGACGCCUUCAGGCAGCUGAAAACGUAUCUCUCGACCCCCCCCAUUCUAAAUAAGCCCGAGAAUGGCGAGACGCUAUUCUUAUACAUCGCUAUUUCCACAUCGGUGGUUAGCAGUGUAAUAGUCCGCGAGGACAGGAGGGAACAGCAUCCAAUAUUCUAUGUCAGCAAAUCGCUAAGUGACGCCGAGGCCAGAUACCCGACCUUAGAAAAACUGGCGCUUGCAGUGGUGGUUUCCGCUCGGAAACUUCGGCCAUAUAUCCAGUCUCAUUCAAUCACAGUCUUGACCGAUCAGCCGCUACGAACCAUUCUACACAGUCCAAGCCAAUCGGGUCGCCUCGCGAAAUGGGCCGUCGAACUAAGCGAGUACGACAUAGAAUACAAGAAUCGAACAAGUGCGAAAUCCCAAGUACUCGCCGAUUUUCUGAUCGAGCUCCCUAAAAGUUCAUCGUCGAACAGCCGCCCUGUGAGCUAUGGACUCUGCAUGUCGACGGAUCGUCAUCACACCGGGGAUCAGGUGUCGGAAUCCGCCUAAAGUCUCCAAACUGCGAGAUCCUCGAACAGUCGCUCCGCCUUGAGUUCCCUGCAUCCACAAUGAGUCUGAGUAUGAAGCUCUACUUUCCGGACUGCGAUUGGCCAAAGAGCUCGGUGUGCGACAUCUUCACGCCUUCUGUGAUUCGCAGCUCGUCGCAAGUCAGUUAUGUGGAGAGUACACGACCAAAAACGAGCGAAUGGACGCGAACCUAAUAAUGACUAAGGCACUCAUCUCGAAGUUUGAGACGUUCGAACUCACCAAAAUUCCUCGCGGUGAGAACUCGUCUACCGACGCGUUAGCCGCCCGAGCUUCCAGUUCUGACCCGCAUAUGAAGAGAAAAAUCCCGGUCGAGAGUAUCUCAGAACCAAGCAUCAAAUCCGCGCCAAAAUGCAAUGUUGCCACCCGACGACGGAACUAUGACGGAAAUCCGACCUCGUCAAAUACGCAACGCAGGAAUCCGGCACGAGCAAACAAGAAUGCUGAACAGGUUCUUAAGGAGAAUGCCGAACAAGCUCUCGAUGAUCUAGCCGCCGAUCACGACUUCGAGCACAUAACUGAAGGAAUCCACAGCCCAUCGACCAGUGAAAACCAGGAAAACGAGCCCGCUGAAGAUUGGACAGCCAAACUGCGAGAAUACCUCCUCAACGGCAAAGUCCCUGAAGACAAAUGGGCUGCUCGCCGUCCUAAAGUCUGGGCUGCUCAUUACACAAUGCAUAAAGAUAAACUAUACCAUUGGAGCGCAUCCGGAGUACUCUUGGCCUGCCUUGCCGGAAACGAUAUAGUCGAAAUCAUGCGCGAAAUCCACGAAGAAUCCGGCGGCAAUCACUCGGGAGGUCGAUCCCUUGUCCUGAAAAUCAAAAAAGCCAGCUAUUUCUUGCUGACGAUGAACGCGGACUGCGAGAAAUUUGUCACGAAGUGCGAUAAGUGCCAGCGUCAUGGUCCAAUGAUCAACGUGCCGACCAAACAGCUUCAAACCAGUACGGCGCCUUACCCUUUUAUGCGGUGGGCCAUGGACAUUGUUGGCCCCUUAUGCCGAUCAACAAGUCAAAAACAGUACAUCCUGCUUAUGACUAACUACUUCACAAAAUAGGUUGAGACCGAAGCGUACUCGGAGAUCACCGCACUGUACGUACAAAAAUUCAUUUGGAAGUAUAUCAUUUGCCGACACGGGGUCCCGCAUGAGAUCGUCACAGACACGGGGUCCCGCAUGAGAUCGCUGGAACGUUCAAUGAUUAGUGCGCAAAGUUCAAAAUUCAUCUUAGUUUCUCGACCCCGCGAUAUCCGCAAGGCAACGGUCAGGCCGAGGAAACCAACAAGACCAUCCUGGACGGCAUAAAGAAGCGUCUUGAGGCUAAGAAAGGCACCUGGGCGGACGAGCUCGACGGAGUCUUAUGGUCGCACCGAACUACUCCCAGACGAUCGACCGGACAAUCUCCCUUCUCUUUAGCAUACGGACUUGAAGCCCUUUGUCCGGCAGAAGUGAGCAUCCCAACAUUAAGAUACUAUGUGCUCCCCGAGAACCCCGAUCUCAACAACCAGAUGAUGCUCAACAACCUCGAUAACUUGGAAGAACAGCGAUGCCUAGCUCUCCUCCGAAUCCAGAACUACCAAAAGCUCGCUGCUCGGUACUACAACAAGAAAGUGCGAGGUCGGCAUUUCGAUGAAGGCGACCUCGUUCUGCGCAAGGUAUGCCAUAACAACGAGGAACUAAACGCAGGCAAGCUGGGAACGAACUGGGAAGGUCCAUAUCAGAUAAUGAGAAUCGUCAAACCCGGGGUUUACGAACUCAUGCAACUCAAUGGAACGCCGAUCCCGCAUUCAUGGAACUCAGCCAACCUCAAACGAUAUUACUACUAAGUCCCAGCCACCGCGAGCUCGGACUAAUCAUCUUACCGCCAUCAGCGCGCCUAAAAAAAAAAAAAAACCAGUCCGGCUCCGGCCGAACUCACCCCUGUAAACUGAACUACGAGUGGCUUGGUUUCUUGCAAAAGGGUUCGUAGGCAGCUCGAUUUCGAGUCCAGCUACAAAUCCAAAAAAAAUCCAUCUUUUUCAUUUUUGUCACUAACUUCACUCAUCGACUCCCCGGCCAGGAGAUCGAUUCAAGUAUUCCCCACGAAUACAACUACAAAAGCCGAGAUCAGUCUCGCCCGCAUCCCCAUGAUGCCCCAUCAUUCAAAGCCGGAACCCAAUCCGCACUCGCUCUUCGGAACAGCAAUCCGUCAACCACGAUUCAAGUUUGGAAAAGCCUCCCGAGUUCAUCCGCAUCGUCACUAUAACAUCACGAACUCUCCAAAUUCAAUGGAAACAAGCCGAACUCCCAACAGUUCGCAAGUAAAAUACGAGAAAAGAAAACUCUAAGUAAAGAACAGUGACAAAUAAAAACCGCGCUCAUUUCAUUAAUACCCGAAAUUGCCGAACUAGACGGCAACAAUACAACGCCCAAAACCGGCGACCAAAACAAAUCAUUAAGUUAAACCCGAACUGUGCGGGUGAGAUAAACUUUACAAUCUUAAACAACAUGAUAACAAAAUAAAAAAGGCUAAGGGGUUCCCGGCGGAAGCAACAGACGCCAGACUCUUCAGACUCGCUGCCCGAUCAGCCGAGAUGGAUCUGGAAUUUGAACCGAACUGAUCCAAACCCUCCGGUACUUGCGUUCCCGACGGAAGCACGAUCCUUGGGAUGAGGUCGUCAUCACUCGGGAGAAUGAAGUCUUCGUUCUCAAGCCGCGGGAGAGGGAUAUCAUCAACCUCCUUCGUGCAGUUCUUGACCCUGCGCCCAUACGUCUCCAUGAUGUGAGACGGAACGAUCAUGUUGUGCCGACCAGAGCAGUCGCUUGAUUGAGCUUGAGGAACGGCGCCCUCCGGAGCUCGGACUUGUCCAUGAAGUCUUUCAUCUUGGCCAGAUUCCCCUCGCAUUUGCCUCUAAGCGCGGCCAUCAUCUUUCGGCCCUUUGACUCGGCGUCUCAGUACUUCCGCCUCUCGAGCUCGCUCGUCUUGAACGACUUGGACAGAGCGUCCAUGUCGCCCUCCAGCUCGGCAGUCCGCCUUUCCAGAGCCCCGACCUUCUCCUUCAGGGCAAUGUUCUCCUUCUCCUUUUCAGUGAAGGCCAGCACCGAAGCUUCGUACCUUUCCUUCUCUUCCCGGUACGACGCUUCCAACAACACCCUCUCAGCAGCGACCUCGGCGUUAAUCUUCCUCAGCCUCUCGACCUCAGAAUCGUACUCGUGGACGAGCUCGUUGGUGUCACAGACGAGCUGAAAAUAGAGAUCAAAGUCAGACAUUUCAAAAUAAAAACGUCUAAGUAUUCAAAUCACAGAGAAGCUUACAGCGGAGGCGGAUAUCGUGACCCAGGCGUAAGACUUAGGGCGGAAGAGGUCUUUAGUCUCAGGCAUUGGAGACGAGGCCGGGAUGAUCUGCCUGAAGAGCUCGGCGCAGGCAGUUGCGUCGUCAAAAAAGGACCUCUCCUUAUUAUAGUUGAGACGGACCGAGAAAGAUGACGAGUCAGAGGUCCGGCACCUCUUGAACGACCUCGGGUUCCCGGUCUCGACCGCCGGAUCCGCCGGGGGGACUUGAGAAGCGGUAGGCGAACCGCCAAUGUCCCCGCCGUGAAGGACCAGCGUCCCCUCACUCACGGCCGUCUCGGGGUCACCGCCCCUCUUCCGAGAAGACCUCUUCGAGGACUUCCCCUUCUUUCUUCGUGCGCGGUCGGCAAUGGUGAGCUCGUCCUCGUCCUGCUCACCAAUCUCGCCUUCCUCCAUUUGAGGCUGAGGAGUCGCCUCAGGAACGACAGUUCCCACCACGUCGCCCUCCGGAUCCGUAACUGGGAUCAAGGGAUCAACUGGGCCGACCGAGACGUUGUCGACCUCGUCCCCGCCACCGGUUUCAUUACCAUCACCGACCUUGUUUCCGUCGAGGCCGACGAUGUCAAUCGGGGCAUCGUCCUCUUCCUCGUCAGCCCCGAAGUUCAUCGUCGGAAUGUCCGAUUUGUCAAAAGCCAUUUUCCGCCGACUCUUCUUGCUGCUUUUCUUCGAUUUCCUUUUCUUUGGUACCGGUCUCGACGAACUGGGCUCGGCUUUAGUUUUAGCUACAAGAAGAACAAAACGAGUUAGCUAUGAUUUAAGAUUGUCUCGAGCAAAUCGAAUCAAGAACUCAUACCUCUGUCCUGAGCUCUCUUUAUCCGCCGGUCGAUCUUCUCUUGGUAAGCUAGGGGCCAACGGCGCUGUCCGGCGAGACUUAGCUGCUUCGCUAGGUCGGACGUAAGGGAGCGUUGAAUAAAUCCUGGAACGUGGCGAUCUGCAUAAGCAAAGAAACUAUUAGUACCGACCAAGAAACAGGGGAGUUAACCGGGAGAUAUGUACCAAAAUCGACACUCCAGCCAGUCCGGAACGUGCUCUCCGGAUUCUCAGCAGACAGCGAAUCGACGCGAACAAAGAAGUAACUUUGGUCCCAGUUCGGAAAUUUGCUAGCCUUGUUCCCAGUAACCAGGUCGAACUUCGGGUUGCAAUUCACCGACAAAAACCAACUUUUGGCCGAUGAGACCUUCAUGAUAAAAAGCUCCUCGAAUUGGGCCACAUUGAUGUGAGCACGGAUAUCGCGCCCGAGCUGGAGAAUCCCGACAAAAUUCACUAUCGACGCCGGCUGGAGUUGUGAUAUCGCGCGGCCGCGACGAUUGCAGUAAGCGAACAGCAAGCGGGGCAGAGGGAAAGUCAAUCCGGCCUCGCGGAAAUAAGCCUCGUAGACACAAAUGAAGUCCUCGGGUGCAUCCCAAGGGCGCUCUUCCGGUUCGAGAACCUGGAUUAUGAUUCCAGGAGGGGCCCCGCCGAUCAGCAUUGCAGCCCGAACUGUCUCUGGGGAUGACAAGGUGGACUUCACUGGAGCGCACACGCAUGGCCGAUCCAUGAUCGGCAUCAUGUCAUCAUCGUUUGGAUCCAGCGCUCCUCCAUCCCCGACCUCACGCAGUGGAGCAUCCUCAUCUGUCUUCGCGUCAGGCUCCCGUCCCGAGACCAGGUCAGUGAGAACCUGGCCCUCGGGCUCACGGAGAUUCCGAUCCAUCCGCUCCGGAGCUCGUAUCGGAACCCGACUACUAGAGUCGACCUCGACGACCCGGGAAUUCUUCCGAACCAGAGAAGCGUUCGAAGAAUGCUCUGUAGAUCCCGAGCUCGAGGCGUCAGUGGAAGAUUCCUCCCUACAGUGUUCGGGAAGAAUAGCGGCUUCAGAGUUGGAGGAGGAGUUGGAAGACAUCGUCGGAGCAGUUCGGGAAAAUAACCGUCGACGAGAGAGCACGGCGGACGGCGGCCGGAGAUCCUAGAGAGAGAAAAAAGAAAAUUUAGAGAGAAGGGAGAGCGAAUACCUUGGCAGUAGGAGCGAAAGUAGGAAAUGGGGAGAGUUGAGCCCUAUUUAUAGAAGAAGGGCGAAUCAUUGCGACUUCUCGAGUUCCGCACUUCGUAACGUCUCGAUUUCCCGCCUAAACCGACGCGACUCUUCAGUUUCCCGCGAGCAAAAAGACCUUAAUACCAUCGUCGAAAUAUUAGGGGAAAGAACACUGCUACAAGUCGGGAAUUCGGUAUUCGCCGACCUCGGUCAUUAACAACUCCGGCUUCAAUUCGGCAAAAGUCAGUCAGGUCCAUUUACCGAACUGGGGGGACAUACUGUUGGUGGUACGCUCCGCUACCCGGUUCGGAUCGGUUAAAGACCGAGACCGGCCCAAUUGAUCCCGGUUUACGACAGUCUUAGCCGAAAUGGGUCUGGCCUGACAGCACGGCCCAUAAGAGAAAAGCCCAGCGACAAGAGGCGGUGAGAGCUGAACGAGAAGCCUUAGAACUUCUCCUCGUUUAUGUACUAUAAAUAGUAGAAUUGUUACUGUAAAAGAGAUCUUUUUCGACCCGGAGAAUAGAGACCUCAAUAUUAUUGUAUCGAGAGACCUCCGAACUGAACGAACUGUAAUUGAAAAUUUAAUAAAAUACAAUCAAUUUAAUUUUCCGAACUCGAAUUACCGAACCGACCCCAGAUAGUUGAGAACCACAAUCAACAUCCAAAAUGCUCGACAAGACUGAAUCUGAUAGGAAGUUUGGGUAUCAUCUUCAAUGUAAAAGCAUUUUAAUUCCUCACUUAUGCUUCGCUGACAACCUUAUGGUUUUCACGGAUGGGAAAAUCAGGUCUAUGGAAGGCAUUAUCUCAAUCUUUGAUGAGUUCGGAAAGAUCUCGAGUCUACAAAACAGCCUUGAAAAAUCUACUGCCUAUCUUGCUGGUGUUACAGAGCAAAACAGAGAAAAAAUUGAGUUGCUUUUCCGGUUUGUGGUUGACCAACUACGAUUUCGAUAUCUUGGAUUACCCUUGUUGACAAAGAGAAUGACUCUGACAGACUAUGAGCCCAAAUAAGAUGGUAUGAAGACGAUGUUCAUUUGUGGCAGUUCAAGGAGGAGUUUUUAAAGAGAAGUUAUCGACAAAAGCUACUUGGAACCAAAUCAGACCCCCUAAUUAAACCUCUUUAACAAUGGAGCUGUGGUGUCUGGUUUUCAAAUUCCACACCAAAAUACUCUUUCAUGGCUUGGCUUGCAGUGUUAGAUCGCUUAUCCACCAGUGACCGAACUCUUUGCUGGCAACAAAACAUUUCCACUGACCCAAUGGAAACUCGCAAUCAUCUCUUCUUUGCUUGUUGUUUUGUGCAUAAUUUUGGUCGAAUAUCGCACAAGGCGUUCUCCAACAUCAGUUCACGACAGAUUGGAGUACCCUUGUUCAGAUCAUCUCAACAACUUUUGUUAAUCGAUACCUAUUUCAGGCAACUUUUCAGUUGACAACUUUUGUUACUUGAUACCUGUUUCUGGCAACUUUACAGACUAUGUAGCGAGAGAGAAAUAAACGGAAGCAUGGAAAUCAACUGUCACCAUCGCAGAGACUCAUCAAACUCAUUGAAAAGACAAUGAGGAAUCGUCUAUACUCAAUCAUUCGGAGUGGUGACAAAUGUUUCUCCCAGAGAUUGACGUUUUGGUUUGCAACUCGACCUCCAAGUUGAAGACUCUCCUCUGUUCAUAUUCUUUCAAAACAGUUCUAAUCAAAACAAUUCUAAUCUCAGUUUGUUGUAUUGUAAAAACGUUUUUUAUGGAUAAAUUUUACAUUGUAUUCUUUUAACAAAAAACACAUGAUCCAACCUUUCGUAUAGAUGUAGCUAACCGUCGAUCUCACUUCUGAAGCAUCAAAGUAGUCCAUACAAGACUUCACCUUCUUCAUAUUUCAACCUUUGUUAACAUUACCUUCAUGAACCUCGGCAAAUCCGUGUCCGUGACAGAUCUUAUCUAUCACACCUAUAAGUAUGUGUUCUUCUCUGCCAUGAUCUGUUUUGGACUAUUCACGAACGUGUGUCCACUCUCAUCCACCUUCUUCAGCCAAGAAACCUGCUUGUAAGUUUAAAUUUUGGCUAGACCUACAUGAUUCAAAGAUGAGAGAACGUAACAAGUAUGUAAGUGAUAAAAAGACACAUAAUUUUCACGAAAGUUCCGCUCUCCAACCUAAUUUCUUGGACUUAGUCGAAAACAAAUCCAUAUAGAAUUCAACACACAACCAUGCUACCUACCAUUCUUUUCCACACGGAUAUUGAAUCAAGAUAUCAGGCACAUCAUACUUGACUAGCACAGUACCACCUGUAGCACCGGCACACCAACGUCUUCUCUGAAUGGUGAGACGAUGCCACACACUCAUGUGUGCUUCAUGAGACUGUCUUUCGAUAUUUAUAGGAAGGCAUGAUACUCUAUACCUAGCUGCAUUUGUCUCACGAUGUUUAUUUCCUAAAACAAAUGAGACUACACCGAUAGGAAUCUGUGCAAUCUUCUAUCCUUCUUUUUCUCUUACCAUCCAAUAUUUUCCAUAUUAAAAUGUGUGUUUUUAUCCAAAAUCUAUAUAAGGACCCAUCUCAAGUCAUCUUUAUUGCCACAUCAUUAUUUUGUUAUGUAUCAACUAAAAACAUCAAACUCGAUCCAUCGUAACGAACCCAUUUGAAAAUGCAGUCAAAAUUUCUAUGAAACAAAUAUAUAUUAGCAUUUCAAUCUGACUUAUAACAAAAUAUCCACAAACGAACAAACACUACUUUUACCUUAUUUGGAGCAAUGCCUCUAAAGUUUAUGAAUUCUGGGCUUUUCUCUGUCAAGGAUGUCCCUAUAAUGGUGUAUUUUACAACUACAAUCAUAUAACACAUAUAUUCAUACGUAUGUUAGUUAAUAGUUCCUAUACAUGCAGAUUUUCAUAUUGUUAGUUCAUAUAAACUUUUUUUUAAGUUUAUGUAAACUUUAUUCAAAAAAAAACUUGUUUACAUCGAGUGCAUCAUGAAUUCGAUUUAUAGUACAAAUGAAAAGUUUGAUCAGAUAGGGAUGUCUCUAUAGUGUAUUUUACAACUCACUCAACGUUCAUACUGUAUUUUACAACUCACAGUCAUACAUAUAUAAGACAUAUAUACACCUUGCUAACAUGUUAUCAAUUUAACGUUUAAUUAAUAUUUUGUUUUAACAAUUUCAGAAUUGUCCUUUUAAAUUUAGCUUGUGGAAUAGUUAUUGGACAUGCUACAACUUUACAAUGUUUCAACCAAGAAAUAACACUUGUUAUAAUGCCCAAUCAUCGACGACCGCAAGUUGGUGUCUACUGAAUAUUAUUAAUAGGGCGUGAAUAGAAUAACUAUAAAAUACUUUUUCUCCUUUUUCGACGUCAAAAAUAUAGUAAUUUUUUCUUUCUUUCUGAAUUUGGGUUUAGCUAUCAUACUCUCCAAAUGUACCUAACCGAAGUGACAUCUACAAAAAAAAGUUGUUCCAACAUCUAUCAACUGAUUAUUAUAUACACUAUUUGUACCUUUAAUCAUUUCCACAAUAGUCUAAAUAUAUAUGUGAUAGACAUCACGAGAGCUAGAAAUAGAAAGAAGAAACAAUCACAUAAUUAUAUUUUUAAAAUUUUGAGUGAGAAAGACAGAAUAAGAAGAGAGUGUGUCUUGACUCUUGAAUAAAAAGGAAAGAGAGAGAGAGAGAGUGUGUGUAGUCAGAGAUACAUAUAUUUUCCUAAAAUCAUAGAUUAAACUGUCUUAUCAAUUCUAUUAAUAGCUGGGGUAAAAAUGUGACAUUGAAUUACUAUAUUUGUCGAACAAACUUUUGAAAUUGAUAAAACUGUAGAUAUCACUUUCAAAAAUUCAUAGCCACACAAAAUACUUGAAAGAAAAUAUCAUCUAAAGCUCUAUAUAGUAAAGAGAAGGAUUUGGUGAUACAAGCACAAUAAAUGCCUAAAGUUUGAAAACAUUGGGAAUAAUAGGUACAAUAUAUCAAGAAAUGGUCCUCACAUACUUAGCAUUGCGUUUGAUUUGAAUGGACCACAAACACAUAUGCAUCCCCCUCAAGCUAAUAUACCAAUCUCAUUUUUUGUCGGAUCUAAACACGUAAAGAUUCUGAUGCAUUUUCUUCUUCUUUUUAGCAUUUAUGUAGAAAUAGAUUAUAGCUACUUAGAUAAAUACAAAGAUAAUCACAGCACGUCAUAUUCACCCAAAAAUCUCACAUAACUGACCAAAACAUUUAGUCUACUGGUUUUUACUAUUGUCAUUGUGUCAUCGCCACGUUGAUUGGAAAAACCUCAUCUAUGUUUUUAGCCUAUAACCUCACUUAGUUAAAAGUUUGAGCAAAGACAUAUUACAUGAUACAUUAAAGCUAUCAUCAUGAUCUGAAAAUGGUUGCUAUUUUGCUUUACAAGAAAGAGAUAUUGUAUAUAGAAUAAAUGAAUUUUAGGACAUCCCAAUGCAUUGCUCAAUAUAUACCAUUUUAUUUAUAAUGAUAUCUCCAAUAUUCAUUUAUUUGAAUAACUAAAUAUAUUUGGAGGAAGAGUGAUCUCGAUACACACAUCUCCAUAACUUACAAGUCAUUACUAAACACAUUUGUAAGAAAAUAAACUAUUUAGGAUUUGGUUUAGGAACAAGAAAGUUGUCAUGUAUUCAUUAGGGAUGAUUUAAGCUCAUAAUCAAAAUAUGAAACUCAGAAGGACAACAUAUUUGUACAUGAAUGGACAAAAAUAGGGACAAAAAAAAAGAGAGUAGUCUUGCUCCAUUGUUCAUCAGUAGUAUUGCAGUUAUAAUUCUAUAAUAUGUAAAUAGAGAGGGGACAAAAUGGUGGGACUGAAUAUGCCUAGCUUACGAUGUGUAAGGUCCACCAACAAGUUCCUUAUUGAUUCUCAAUUUCAAUGUAGUAGCCAACAACAACGAACUCAAAAAUGAAUUGACACUGUGUCUUGAAAACCUUUUCUUUGCUAAACAUCUAUAAUUCCAUAGAGAGCCUUUUAUAUCAUUUAAACAUCCAAUAUAAUUACCUACUUUAUUCCGAAAAAUGAGAGGAAUAUUGUGUUGUUAUGGAAAUGCAAACUGAGAUUGGUGACAAAAGAAAUAAGGUGUAAAUAUAUAAAUUACCUUAUCCUUUGAUGAUUAGUUUCGCUUAGCUUGCCAAUCUUUGAUAUUGUGACUCUUGGUAAGCUUGUGGAUCCAUUCAUAUCUUGAGUUGAAAGGAAGUAACAAGAAAAAGACUGCCAAAAAACUUGAGAUACUAAAUCAAAUCCAAUGUAAUCACAUGAAACCAAAAAAAAACCACAGGAGUUCUUGGUCAGAUCUUGGAGAAUAGGUUAAUUAACAUAAAGGUGGAAAAAAAGCAAAAGAUAUCAAUCAGAAACAAACCUACCUGAAGAAGAUCUGGAUUAAAUAAAAGCAUAUAGAGAGAGGGGGAUGGGGGAAAGAAUAGCCGUUGAUUGCCGAUGCAGCAUCAUCAAGAUUCUCAUCUUCACAGAGAACUUUGGGAGAGAGUAAAUCACCACCGUCCAUAAACAGAUGUGAAUCUUGAUGAUGCCACAGCAGCAAACAAUGACCGUGGCUUCAGAAACUAGAAUUCCGUUUUGCUAAAAAAUCGUCUGGUAGUAUUCUUUUGUCUCUCACAAUCUUUACUAAUCUUAUGUCUCUCAAAUUCGAACUCAAUCUUUACUAACUACUUAUAUAUAAAAAUAUUCAUCUACUUAUACAUAAAUAAAUCUUCUUAGUUCACAGAAACUCAGUUAUUAAAGAAGCUAAUCGGAAUCAAAAUAAUAAAAAAAAAAAUGAAGAGUUAAAGCGGAAGAAGCGAAACCCUAAGAGAGAGGGGGAGGAAAAAUUCAUGAAAACCAUCAGAUCUUCGUAAUAUAUACCGCUAAAAUAGUAAAAUGAGAAAAAACCACAGCUUUAAUUUAGAUUUGCAAGAAGAAAAAAAUAUGACGUAUGUAUUACAUGUUAGCAGAUCGUGGAAGCUACAUACUAGGCAGAGAAGACCUGGAGAGAUCUAAAACAGAGAGAGACAAAGCGACUAAGCGAGAGAGAGAGAGAGAGAGAGAGAGAGAGAGAGAGAGAGAGAGAGAUGUGAGGUUAGAGGUAUAUAGUGAGAGAUGUGAGGUUAGAGGUAUAUAGUGAGAGAUGUGAGUGUGUGUACGUAUAUAUAUAUAUAUAUAUAUGCUUAUACUUGUGAUUAAAUGUUAAUAUGGUGAUUAGUUUAUCAUAAGAAAUAUUAAUAAUAAAAAUUGUUGGAUAGAGAGUUGAGUGGCAGAAGAGUAAACAGAGUUGGGCCAAUGGAGUUAGGCGCUGCCGUCUUGGAGUCCACCUCCUGAUGGAAUAUCUCACUUCACAUGUCGAACGGACUGUUUUUUUUUUUUUUUUUGCGCAACUAUUAUUUAUUGGAUCAUCUAGCUACAAAGGUAUGAGGUAUCUAAAGUUUUAACCAUGCAGUAAAAGAAAACAAAAAUGUAAAAAGAGAAAUAUUGGAUAUAUUAGGGAUAGGAAAAAUAUGCCCUAUAUUCGCUUUGAUUAAAAAAAUGGAUAUCUGUAACUAUAAGAACCAAAAUAUAUACUAAAUUUUAAUAUUCUUUAAAAAUGAAACAAAUCACAUACAAAAAAAAUUUAAAAACCGGUUCGCAUAUAUAUAUAAUCUAUACUAUAAAACUUGGUCAACUCUCUCCAGCUGAGUGAUAUAUCAGCACUGGAGAAAGUGACACAUGUAAAAAUUAUUUUUACUAUUAAUGCAUAAACAAAAUUUAAUUUAAUUUUCAUUAUGCUAAAAAUAUUAAAUCAUCAGAAUAAUAUAAACUAAAUUCAAUUUUAAAUUAAACAUCACAAUGUAUAAAAAAAAAUUUGAGAUUUUAGUUGUCUACUCUUUUUUCUAUGUAAUUUAUUCAUAUUUUUUAAUUAACAAAGAUAAUUUAUUCAUAAAAAAGUAAAGAAAAAAAAGAAAUCAUGAAACCAAAAAUAAGAAUAAUAGAUUAAAAAAAUGUCAACCAACCAACUGAAGAACAAGUUUUUUAGAGUUAGAAAACCACAAAAUACAAAAGAACAUUCAUUAAACAAUCAAAAAGAUAAUAAACUAUUAAAAAUAAAGAGAAAAAGGACAAAAUAGAAAAGAAAAAGAAUAUGAUAACAAAUAAAUAGAAUCAAUGAAAUAUGUGAAAACAGAACAUGAAUAUGGUAAACUGCAGAAAGUAAAAAUGAUCGAAAAAGCAAGUUAUGAAAUCAAAAAAAAAAAGAUAGGUUAAGAAUUUCAAACAACUGAAGAACAAUUUUUGAGAUUGUUAGAUUGAGAUUUCAAAAUGAUUGCUAAAUUGAGAUUUCAAUGAAAAAAGUUAAAAAAAAUUAUAGAUAGAAAUAAUUAUUAGGAUUAUAGAAAAUAUUAAGGAAAUCACAAAAAAAUUUGAUAGUUGAAUUAGAAAAUUAGAAACAUAAGUAAAACAAGAUCCGUGCGUAGUACGGGUUAUCUCCUAGUAAUAUAUAAAAGAGAAUGAUUAGAAGUUGGUAACUCACCGGAUCGCGAUACAUGUUAAAUUAAUUGUUCGGAUUUUGACAUUUAUAAGAAAAUUAAAUAAAAAGGGAUAAAUUCGAUCGUUUUUAUGUGGACAAGUCACGUGCUUGCACGUAGUGUCCAUGGCUUUUUUACAGAUACAGCCCCCUGGACCAAAUUAGGACUCGUGUUGUACUUACAGCCCAACACGUCCUACGCAUAUAGCACCGGACCUCGAAUCUAGUCAGAUUCGAGAGAUCCAACAUGAUGAGACACCUGAUCCUGGGUUUCUUGUAUAUGACAGCAUAGGCCACGCUGUUAGGCACAAGGAGGUCAGAAACGGAGUGGUCAGGAGGAGGAGAUGUCACUUUCUCUAUGUCCUAGACCUAAGUUCGGUGAUCCGGAAGGAUCGGGACAUAAGGAAAGGUGACCCGCACAGGUAUCAGGAGAGCGGAGCUGUUUAAGCCACUCCGGCAGCCCGGUCCCAAUAUCGAGGGAUCCGGGCUAGGUAUGAGUAAACCCAUAAGCAGGAAUUCAAAAUUCUCUCCAUUCGACAAUAGGAAUAUGCUUUAGUCUAAUUUGAUCACCCAUGCCCUUACAAACUCACGUGUAGUGAGUAAUAGCUCUGGUUGUUCGCUGUUUAAGAAUUUUUGUUUAGGCAGUUCAUACCAUCCAUACAUAGUGUUUUGAUCUAAGAUUUCAAUUCUUCCAUAUUUCGAUUAGUUAUGAAGUACUAUUAACUCUAUGUGUUUUAUCAAUAUCUCUACGUGCGAUUCGUUGAAACAUAAAUGUUUAUUUUGACUAUUCCAAGCAGGGGGCAGCGGGUAGGCGAAAUGGAGGUUUAGGCUCUAGAGGGGUUUGGUGUUGCUCAUAUUUUACAAGAGAUGCUUACUUAUAAAUCUGAUCAUAUUAGAACUUGGACAAAAAAAGAAGUAACUUGGAUAAAAAGAAACGAAGUAACUUGGACAAAAAGAAACGAAGUAACUUGGAUAAAAAGAAACAAAUUUUUUUGGUUCUUGUUCUUGUUGGAUCCUAAAAUGAGAGAUUGACAUUUAAUGCAUCUUGCUUACAUGUGUCAGGCAACAGUGACCUUUCGCAGGAGCUAGAGAGAAAAGCAGAGGAUCAGCAAGAGCCAUACCGCGCCUGAACCGCCGAACCAGCCCGUACAUUGAGGACGAAAGGGACGCACCAAAGAACGGUCUCGUGGCAGGCAGAACAUGCCAAGGAAAGUUGGUAAGGCCAUCAAAAGCGUAACGCAAGCAUAAGAUUCGAAUCUAGUUAAGCCGGAUCAUGGACCAAUCCACCUCACUUGCUAUCCACGGACCAACCCGGUAUACUAACCCGGGUCAGGUAAAAUCCAAUAAAUAUUUUUUCCCUUCCACGAGGGAGGGGAUCACUUUUUUAGCUAUCUUAAGUUUCAUGUUAUCUCUCUAGAUACUUGUGAUCCUCGAGCUCUAACACCUCAUACUUUCUGAUCAUUUUCUCGAUCAUCUCUACACUUCCUCUCCAUAGUGGCCUCUAAGCCGUGGAGACUUUCAACCAUCAAACUCUGCUUUUCCUCUCUUUCACCUCAAAAGGCCCAACACCGUAAAAGGCCCGAGUUGACUUCACCCUUCUCGGGAGCGCUCGGCCCACUUUCCUUCACCCGUUUUUUUAUCUCUUUCUGCUAUCCGAUUAGCCACAUAGUGGUCUUUUUGGAUGGUUUCUGACUUGAGCGGCGGAGAGCCUUCAAAAAAUACACCUCCAUCGUUUUUUAGACAUUCACGUGUUUCUCGGUUUUGCAAGAGACUUACCCCUUCAGGAGGACCAAAAAUCUCCUAAACAGUUAAAAAUUAAAAAAAUAAAUAAAUAAAAACCUAUAUUUAUAUUAUAAAAACCCUAGAUUUCAGUUUAAAAUAAAGAAAUAAAAUAAUAACUUACAAUUCUAAAUAGUUAAAAUUUUACAAAAAAAAAAGGAAAAACAAUUCUUAAGUUUCAUGUUAUCUUUCUAGAUACUUGUGAUCCUCGAGCUCUAACACCUCAUACUUUCCGAUCAUUUUCUCGAUCAUCUCUACACUUCCUCUCCAUAGUGGCCUCUAAGCCGUGGAGACUUUCCACCAUCAAACUCUGCUUUUCCUCUCUUUCACCUCAAAAGGCCCAACACCGUAAAAAGCCCGAGUUGACUCCACCCUUCUCAGGAGCGCUCGGCCCACUUUCCUUCACCCAUUUUUUUAUCUCUUUCUGCUAUCCGAUUAGCCACUUAGUGGUCUUUUUGGAUGGUUUCUGACUUGAGCGUCGGAGAGCUUUCGAAAAACACACUCCAUCGUUUUUUUUAGACAUUCACGUGUUUCUCGGUUUUGCAAGAGACUUACCCCUUCAUGAGGACCAAAAAUCUCCUAAACAGUUAAAAAUUAAAAAAAAAAAACUAAAUAAAAACCUAUGUUUAUAUUAUAAAAACCCUAGAUUUCAGUUUAAAAUAAAGAAAUAAAAUAAUAACUUACAAAUCUAAAUAGUUGAAAUUUUACAAAAAAAAAAAAGGAAAAACAAUUCUUAAGUUUCAUGUUAUCUAUCUAGAUACUUGUGAUCCUCGAGCUCUAACACCUCAUACUUUCCGAUCAUUUUCUUGAUCAUCUCUACACUUCCUCUCCAUAGUGGCCUCUAAGCCGUGGAGACUUUCCACCAUCAAACUCUGCUUUUCCUCUCUUUCACCUCAAAAGGCCCAACACCGUAAAAAGCCCGAGUUGACUCCACCCUUCUCAGGAGCGCUCGGCCCACUUUCCUUCACCCGUUUUCUUUAUCUUUUUCUACUAUCCGAUUAGCCACUUAAUGGUCUUUUUGGAUGGUUUAUGACUUGAGCGUUGGAGAGCCUUCAAAAAACAUACCUCCAUCGUUUUUUUUAGACAUUCACGUGUUUCUCGGUUUUGCAAGAGACUUACCCCUUCAGGAGGACCAAAAAUCUCCUAAAGAGUUAAAAAUUUUAAAAAAAAAAUAAAAAAUAAAAACCUAUGUUUAUAUUAUAAAAACCCUAGAUUUCAGUUUAAAAUAAAGAAAUAAAAUAAUAAAUUACAAUUCUAAAUAGUUAAAAUUUUACAAAAAAAAGGAAAAACAAUUAGUAUUUCUAUUAAAACUAAGAAAAUUAAAAUUUUAAAUACAAUCCUAAGAAAAAGAUUUUAAUUUUCUACUUUAUAUAACCAAAUUGAUAGAUCAUCAAUCUCACAAUCAAAGACACUUAAUUUUGUUUUUUAAUUUUUUUUUUUACAGAUGGUGUAAAUAUUAAAUUAUAAACCCGUAUAUUUGCGGAUAUGUAUAUAAAUUUUUAUGAAUUUAAUUCUUAUUGGAUUUUUUUCUACUAGGUAUCUACAGUUUUAACAGUGCAGUGAGAAAAUAAGUAGCAAUUCAAUAAUAGUCAGCUAUUAUUUAAUCUAACAGGUUAACGACAGCUAAAAAUGUUUUGAUGGUUAAAAGUAUUGGGGGAGAAUGCCAAAAAAAAAAAAAAAAAAAAACUCCAAAUGUAUUGGUUAUAAAGUCUGCAAUUUUCAAGUUUCGAGAAUAGACAUGCAGAAUCUUUAUAAAUUGAUGUUAAAAAGAGAGAAAUAUAUCAAAUAAUAUGUUGUAUCUCUUAAAUACUCGCCAAACACUAGUCAAAACGUAACGUGCUUGGACGAAAAGCAUGGUUUCCGGAGAACGACGUAAGGUGAUAUAUAGUUUUAGAUUAUAGCCGACAAAGGUGUGAAGAAGGAAGCUAUCCACCGAAAAAGGUUGGUGAUUUCUGACAAAUAAUUGAGGUCAUGAGGGAUCUCAAAGAUAAUAAGGAAAGGAACACGUACCUCAUCGGCUCGGAUCAGAGACUUUGAGAUGAGUUUGAUGUCUAUAUAGAACAAUAAAUAUUUCCCUAUUUCUAUUAUCGUUUUGGCGGCAUAUAUUUAAGGUAACAUAGUGGGUGAUGAUGUGAAUCAGACCAGUAGAUGGAGUGUACCCUAAUCAUCUCUAUCAGUUACUAUAGUCUAUAGGAUCCCUAACCGAGGUUUCAAAAAAAAAAAAAAAAAAAAAGAUCCCUAACCAAAAAUCUUAUUUUAAAAUUAUUUAUUGCAUUGCUUUUUUAGAAAAUCACUAAAUAGUAUAAUUUCUUACUCAUAAAUAUCAAAUUUAUCACACAACUUUAUUUAAAAACUUUUAUUGGGUUUUAUAUUUUACUGUUAUUUAUUUAAUCUCUUGUUCUUUGGCGAUUUUUUUUCAAACGUAGCUUUUAUUCUGUUCAAUUAUGAUAAUCAUAAAUUUAAUUUCUAAAAAAAUUAAAAUUGCAUGCACUGAUAAUUUUGGGCCUUACUUUGUGUUCAAAUUCACAUUCAACUGUUUUCAGCUUAUGUUUGGUUAGAGUAAUGUGUUCUCAGAUACUCCAAAUGCAAUUUCGUCCAUCCGGAAUAUGUCUUUCUCCUCUAUAUCAAUAACCCAAAAAAACUUUGGUAUUUUGCUAAUUCUUUUUUUUUUUUUUUGCGUAUAUGACUAAUUAAUUCAAUAGGAAAGUGUUAUCAAAAUGGCUUUAAUAUGACUACAAUACAACACCCCAAUGUGAGAGUUGAGGAAUUAAGUGCCCGUUACUUCAUAUGAAAAUGAUGUUUUUCAGUGUUAUACUGCUAUGUAAUAUGAAAUUAUGAUUCUUACAACUAAUAUAUAAAAAUAUACUUACGGUUGUGAUCAAUACUAAUUCAUUUAUAUAUCCCUUUUGUAAAAACAAUUUAUACCAAUAGAAUCUAGAAAAUGACAGGGCCUAAUACUAUCUUCAUUGAUACAAAUCGCCCGUAGUAAAAGGGAAAGUGGAUUGGGUCGACUUUUAUUAAUGAAAGAAAAAGGUUUAUCUUUAUUGAUCUAAAUCUCAUGUAGAUAACAUACCCACUAAUCAGAUAUUUAUUUAUCAACAAAAGCUAUUCAUACAAUACCAAUAUUUUUUAUCAAAUCAACAAAUCACUUUAGCAAAAUUAAAAUAAUUUUUUGUUCAAUUAGUUAAAUAAUUAAGUACUAUAUGUAUAAGUCAGUAUAUGUAUAACUGAUAUAUAUAUAUAUAUAUAUAUAAUCAGAAAGUAUGGCCUCCACUAUUCAGGUGGUUUGAAGUACUUUGUUGAACCCAAGGAACUCUGAUGCUGUUACGAGGAUCUGGUCUCUGGAUUUUUUUUGUGUGUCAAGUCCCGAUUUGAUUAUUAUAUUUUUUUGUAUCUUAAACUAAUCGUCCACUAGCUCUCCGAUAAAGGUAACUUGGUUUAGGGUAAAGAAAGCAUUUGAAUACUUAAUAAAAAAAGAAGAAGAUGAGGUUACCACAAUAAUUAUAAGACUACUAACACUAUAAUAUCGUAUCAUGUGCUUCUGUGUCAUUAUACUAAAACCCGCCAAGAUACGUCAUUGUGUUUAAAUUUUAUGCUAAGAAAAAUAAAUAAAUAAAAAAACUUCUAAAAACUAUUUAUUUCACUACUCAAAUCACGAACUUUGUUUUCUGAUAAAGUUUAGCAAAGUGUGUACUCCUCCACAGAGCCGUGCUUUAUAUGUAUCAAAAAAAGCAUUUGCUUUACACCACCAAAUUUAUUUUUAAUUUUGAAAAUUAAUUUUUUUAUAAGUUUAUCCAAAUAUGUAAAAUACAUAGAUUUUAUUUGUUAUGUAUAGUAGAAGAUAUUAUGUAGUUAUAUAUAUAAAUAUAUAUAUAUAUAUGUGAAAGAGAACUAAAAAAAAUUAGUUAUGAUAUUUAAAAUUAUGUUUUGUUUAUAAAAACUAUAAUAGUAUUAACAAUAAAUGAACUAUAAAUAAAAUUUCAGUCGGAAAAAAAAAAUUUAAAUUCAAACAAAAUAAAAUAAUAAAUUUUUUAUAAUUUGCUUUAGCCCUCUCUAAGGCUACGCACGACACUGCCUCUAUUUCUUAAUAAUUGAUAUUUUUAAUAUUUAUUUUUAAAUAAAAAGUUACACUUGAAUCCACGCAGAUUGGGACUACAAUGAACGGUUUUCCUUGCAUCAUGCUAUAAUAUUUUUAUAAAUUUGUUUUCAUUAAUAACCUGUAAAAAUCGCAUCUUUCAGAAAUUAAAAUCCAAACUUCUUGGUGUAGAGCAGUAAUUAAUUUUUAGUCGACCACCAGACUAAAGGACUUCCACAAUAACUUCUAUUUAUAAAUAUGAUUAUUACUCUAUUUUCUUAAUUUAUCCUUCUCAUUUAAUUUCUUUAAAGAGAAUUAAAUAAACAUUAAUAAAAAUAUAGUUAUAAUAGCAUUUAUUCUAGUCUAUUACUAUAAAAUUAUAGAGUUUUCUCUUCAUCUAUAGUGAUCCACAUCAGUAGAAAAAAAAACUAAAACAAAAGUUAUUGACUCAAUUAUAAUUCACACACUUUAAAAUAACUAUAAUUUUUCAUUUAUAAAAAACACUAGCACUUAAAUUAAUGAUUUAAUUACUUAACACACUUUAUAGAAAAGUUCAAAGACGAUAAAAAAAAUAAAAAUAAAAAUAAAAUAGAAAGAAGAACAGAAAAAAAGAACAAGAGAAUGUAGAUGAUGAAGAAGUAAAAGAAACAAGAAUAUAAACCAGAUAAGUAAAAAUAAGAGAUAAAAAAAAUUAAAAAAAGAAGAUGAAGAAAAACCAAAAAAAAUGAAGAAAAAGUCGACGACGAUGAAGAGGAAGAUGACAAAAAAAAGAAAGAUAAAGAAAAGGAGGAAAUUAGUCUAGUAAAAUCAAAAACAAAUAUAAAAAGAAGAAGAAAAAAGACAAAUAAAAUAAAUUAACUGUUCAACGAUUUGUAAUAAUAGCUAGCUGUUUAAAAAUAAAUUAUGUACAACUCAUAUAUAUAGUAUAAUAUAGUAAUUAUAAAAGUAGAGAAUAUAAAUCACUACAUAACAUAAAAUUGGGAUGCCCGGCCACUGCUAAGCGCAACAACAACUAUGUCUAGUAUAUUCAUAUUUUUAUAAUUACUAAUUUAAACUAUGUGUAUUGUUCCGCGUCUUAACAAAAAUAUUAUGAGUUUUGCAUAAACCACUCAAAACAAAUUCAGAUUUGUUGGAGAUAAAUUCAAUCCUUUAAAUAUAGACGAAUUAUGUGCUUGUACGUGACAUCUAUGGCUUUUUUAUAUGUACAGUCGAUAACACCGUAUUUUGACCCCUUUUAUGGAUCGUUUUUAAAUAUAUAUUUUUUAAGUGUUUUUAUUAUGGUUUUCUAGUAUUUGUAGUUUCAAGACUCUUUUCAGGAAAUUUAGGUAAAAGCUUUGCAAAAUGGAUAAAAAAUCAGAUUUUUACCUCAGAGUCAAACCGUCAGAAGUAUACCCUCAAAUGAAGACCUUCUCACUAUCUGAUCCAGCUCAAAUUCAGAGAUCCUAAAGAUGGAGCAACUAGCUUUUCAACACAUUUGACACUAGGACAAUCCAAUGGUUCAAUCAAAAGUUACGUGAAAAGCAAGAUGUCCAGUCAAUCAGCCGGCCAGCAUUCCUGACCACUGCCAGCAAGCAAUUUCCACCGGUCGUGUGCCCUCUGACCGCGGAGAAUACACUGCUCAACCAAGAAGCCCAUUUCCAAGCCAAAUCGAUUUUCUCUUUUGGAGAAACCCUAAGUGACGUCCAGAAAUUACUUGAAGACUAUAAAUACUUGUCUUAGGAACCCUAGGUCAUAUGUUUUUAGUGUUUUUCAUCAAUCUCAUUCUUUAGAGUUGUGUUUUUAAUACUUUUAGCUUUUAAGUCUAGGGAGAAUGAGAUCUAUCUCGUGAACCCUUUUUGUUUCUUUUCAAUAUCAUUUUCUAUUCAUUAUUUCAAUACCAUGUUUUUGCUUUCUUUAAUCAUGUCUGAAUAAUUUACAUGUUGGGUUUAAGGGAAUUUUUGAUGGGGAUCAUAUAUGUUCGAUGAGGAUUGCAUGAGCUACUAAGCUGAAUCCUAUAAAUUUUUUUCCUAAACUUAUUUUUAAUGCAUGGGAGUAGAAUCAUGAACUAAAUUUGAUUUAGGUUUGUAGUGUUGUAAAAUUUUUCAUUAAAGACCAUAUCCAGUUUGAGAAGAGCAAUUAUGCCAUAGGAGUGAAAACCUACCUAUGGGUGAGUUGUGAAUGUAUAUAAGUCUAAUGCAAGAUUGUGUACACUCGCUUCCGGGCCCAGAGUGGAAACCUACUGGUCAGGGUCGUUGGUGACAGUUGGUUGUGAUCACGACAGUGACGUAGUCAUACCUUCGAGCUCAAGAUCUGAAAGUUUUAGCUAGGAUCUUUUAAAUUAUUUUUUUAGCAAUGUUUUGAAUCGUUCAUACCCCAGAUAAUUUUUCUCAAAAUCCAGCGUCUCGUUUUCAUAAAUCUUACAUUGAUUUUAUUUCAAGCUUUUAGUAUUAUGUUACUUCUUCUUUCCAGCCGAUUUUUACUAUGUUAUUAGGUCAUUUUUAGUUCUCGUUUUAAUCGCUUCUUCUUUUUCCCGUUUAGUUUACGAUUUAGUGACACCCCAAAACCCCUUUUAAAUAUCGAUUAGUUUUAGACUUCUUUGCCUUAAUCUCUUUCAAAAAUGUUUGCAGAAAAUAUCAUCUUUCCCUGUAAAUCUGAUCCCUAAGUACUAAAAUCGAUUAAAUGUGCAUUUACGGCUUUAAUUGAUUCUAUUAGGGUAAAACUUGCCGCCCACACCACACGCACAUCAACGGUUCCCCUAGGCCAAAUUAGGUUUCAUAUUGAGUUUAUAGCACCAAGCCUCGAAUCCAACAGAUUCGGGAAACCGGCCAUGAAAGGUCACGUGCUCCUGGAUUUCUCGUACCUUAUAGAGAAUGUCACGCUAUCAGGAACAAGGAAGUCAAGAACUUAGUAGUCAAGAGGAAGAGAGGUUUCAUUUCUUAUAUCCUAGACCUAAAUUUAAUGAUCUGGAAGGGUCGGAAUCUAAGGAAGAGUAAUCCACAUCAAAAAACAUCCCUCUAUUGUGUUUGUUUGGGAUUUCACGUAUUUCUUGUGUUUUGUAUGAGAUUUGCCCCAAAAACACCAAAAAUUCCCUAAAUCAUGUUUUAGAAUUGAAAACAAAGUACAGUCUAUCAGGCAAAACUCGUUGCUACGUACAAACUUAUAAUUCAUUUGGACUAAAUGUCGCAAAAGAAACAAAUUAAUUUUAAUAAUCUGAAAAUAUUGAAUUCUAGUUACAAAUAUGUGUUAUGUAAUUUUAAAUAAAAUAAUAACUAUGAUUCUUUAUAUUAUGUUUUUAUUUAUUCAUUUAUAUAUAAUGCAGCAACAUUACUUUUUUCAUUGCAAACUAGUGUACCACUUUAUUAUACAUAAGAAAAUCUAUGUUUUGAUAGUGUAAUCUUGGGCCACUCAAAUCGAAAGUGUUGUUUGUUUUUAUGGUCGCUACAAGAAAUUUUUGGUAUCAGUGUUGAGUGGUUUAAAAUUCUUUAACAAAAUAAAAUCCAAAAUUUUGGUUUGGACUAUACCGUUUAAGAUUCGUUGUGCACUAACAACAACAAUUACAUCUAGCCUAUAGUAAAAACAAAACAAACUAAAUGGAACUGGAGAUUUCGAAUUGAAAAUAGUCUGAACUUUAAGUGCAGAAAUUAGCAGAUAAUAAAGAAUAAUUAAGGGGAACCAUAUCUUAUUUAGUGGAUAUGCGCAUGAUAUCAAAUGUUAAUAAAAAAAGGUUUGUCCCAAAAUAAUUAAUUAGAAAGUAUCAAAAGGGGAGAUUCGCAACAGGCCCAGUCCACCUGAAAGGGACCCCAAGUCCGUACAGUCUGACUUGGAUAGGUGUAGAUCUUGUAAAAUUGUUGGCCACAUGGCGUUCACGACGUGUUCCUAUCAGAAACUUUGUGAUUUUUCAACCACCUAAUGUAACAUAAUUUCAACUCAAAAUCAAUUCAAAUGAAUAAAUAAGUUCAUAUAUUUUAUGUAAAUUUUAAUUUUUUGAGAUGAUAGUUUUUUAGCCAUUGAUCUUAGUAUAUUCCAGAAUGGAUCAAUUAUAUUAAUAUUGAAUCUAAUCGAGUUUGAUGGAUUUAAGUUUAACUCGGAUUGAAGGUGGAUCCAACUAACAAUAUAGACCAAAUUUUAAUAUAACUAGGAGAAAAUCUGCGCGUAUUCGCGGAUUUUGUUUUAAUUUAUAUUUAAAUAGUACAUUUUUAAAAUUUGUAUUGAAUUUUAUGUUUAUUAUCAAUAUUUUUGUGUUUAAAAUAUUUAUAUUUUCGAUUUCUUUUUGAUGAUACAUUAUUUGUAAUCUCUUAUACACCGUUUGUGCCAAAUAGUCUAAUUUUUCUCCCAAAAUAAUAAGAGACUAAAAAUCUACUAUUUUAAUUUUUGUAUAAAACGUAAUAAUACACUUAAAAAUAUAUGUUGAAUAUCAGAGAGAAAUAUUUAUUUGUUCUUCGAUCUUCAUAUUCUUUUUAUUCUUGUAAAUCUUACUAAUAUAAUACUUGUUAACUUUUUUAAUUUAUCAUUUUGAAUUUUUUAGUUAUAUAUAUUUUAUUGAUUCUAUUUUUUAUUUUUUUUAAAAACCAUGUAUGAUAUUUUUAUAUGCACACUUUUCUUUAUACUAUUAUUUUUUUAAUAAUUUUUAUCUCUUUAAUCGUUUAUUAAAUAUUUUUUUAUAUUUUAUAAUUUAUUAGUUGAAGUUUUAUAUAAGAAUAUUUAAAACUUCUUAAUUUAUUCAGUCUCAAUUUUUUUUUCAUUUGCAUUAAAAUUUAGUAUAUUUUUAGGUUGAAAAUAAAAUUUAAAUCAUUUGAAAGAAGAAAAUAGAAUAGUGCAUUUAAAAAUUUUUGUAUUAUAUAAUAUUUAUAAGUUUUUCUAUAUUUAAAUUAAAUUUGAAUUGCAUUCUAAUGUGUAUAUAUAUAUAUUAAUAUUUAUUUAUGUUUUUAAUGUGUUUUGCUUUAAAUGUAAUUAAUUAUUUAAUUUAUCAAUUUUGGAUGUACCACAUGUCGCUCUCUCCAUUGCUGAUGUGUCAGUCAGCUGAAGAAAAUUGAUUGUCUUUUAUAUAUAAGAUAUUAAGUUACAUGAAUUUUUAAUUUAAAACCAAUUAGUAAUAAAUAAAUUAGUUCACAUUAUUAUUUUAUUUUUUAAUUUCUGAUGUAGGAUAUAAUUGCUCUGCGCAGAUUUUGUUUAACAUAAUAUUUUAUAAAUAUAUUUAUAUUGAUAUAUAUAUACAUAAUUAAUUAUAGUAUGAUAAUUUGCUUGAUUGUUUGGUAUUAGUUUUUUUAAAACAAAAUCUUUAUUAAAUAAAUAAUUUUUUUUAGGAUUAGAGGUAGGAUAAUUAGGGAAAAUGAUCUACCAUUUUAGAAAUUAUAACCAUGAUAUGAGUAAAAAAAAAACAGAGAUAAAAGUCACAUUUUUUGGGUUAAUUUGCUUGAAAACAUAUAAUUAAGAUUUAGGUUGUCAUGAGUUUAGAGAUAACCUGCGGAAUAAUGGAAUUGUGUUUUUAAACACGCAGAUUUUUCGCAACCUCUUUAAACCGACUUAACAUAUAUCUAGAGCAAGCUCCAAGAUCAUAAAAUCAAAUUUAAUUUGUUUUUUUUUAUUUUUAGUGAGAUUGAAUUUUUCUAGCAGAACAUCAGGACUAAAAAAUUGAAAACAACAUCUUUUCUUAGAUGAAAAACUUAAAAAACGAAAAAGAUGAAAAGAUAUGAUUGAAAAUAUAGAUGUUUCUUGAAAGAAAAACUGAUGCAAUUUCUUAUAUGAAAUUUAAAUUUAAUAAAUUGAGAAUUAGAAUAAAUGCCAUUAAGUUUUUUUUAAAAAUGGACACUUCUAGAGUACUGAUAUGGCGAGCUGUGGGAAAUGAUUCACCUUUUUUCAUAUAUAUGAUUAUUUUCUGAGAUCAUAAUUCUGAGAUUCACUUCAAAAAUUUAGAUAGUAAAAGUAUCAGAUAUCAUAGCAAGGUUGUUCAGAUCCGGAUUAAUCUACAAUUAAAAUGAUUCACUUGAAGUUUUAUAGAAACUUAUAAAGAUUUUCAUCUUUUAAAAAAAAAAUUCAAAAAUUGCUUUCUCAAAUAGAAACAAUGAACGUUGUUCACACGUAAAAAAAUUAUAAAAACUUGAGAAUUGAAAAUUUGUUAUCAUUUUCAAAGGUAUGUGUCAUCGGUGAGUUUUUUUUUUCUAUUAUCAAUUUAUGGAUAUUUCUGAAAGAUUAACUAACAAAAAUGUGUAAACAAGGGAUAUUCUAUCACUUUAGGUUAUCCAAGUUUUUAAAGCUGUAGAAGAACAACCAAAACGGAGUAAAAAUGGCUCAGGUGAGGUGGAGCGAUAGGCCCAAAGGUCACAUGACAAACCAAUGGUGGUUUCAAAUUUUCAAUGAAAGUGCACCAAAGGGACACUCCUUGCCACGUGAUCGGUGGGCUCAUAGGGUAGAGCCAUGGACCCUCCUCUAUUCUGGUCCCUCUCCUCUAUUCGAUGGAAAUUUUAAUAUAAUUUUAUAUAAUCGAAUUUUUAUUGUUUUUUUUUUAAGAAAAAAUUCACUUUCAGUUAAAUUUAAACUGAAAGGUUUCAAAGAAACCCCGCAGGAUUACAACACUAAUUUUUCAAAUCAAGCACAAUGAUCUGCAUACCAGAAAAUGAAGGAAUUACUAAGCUAGCAACAAAAAACAACAAACUCAAAACAUAGAGAACCAAGAAGUUAGAACUUAGAAGUGAGACUGUUGAUGGAGUAUUUGGCUGAGCUCGCGACAACGGAUCGAGUCUACAACGAAUUGUUUGCUUGAUCGCUGUAAUGAUUGCAGAUGCCAGAGUUGAGGUGGAUGUGUGAAGUCUUGCAUUUCGUUCCCUCCAUAUCCCGUAUAAGGAGGCUUGAAAAACAAGUCUUAAAAUCAGAGAGGUGUUACCAUCGCGAGAAGGAGAGAUAAAUCAAAGCAGACAAUAAAUCUGCAGGAGGAGUUACACUUGCCGCAGAAUAGAAUGUGUGUAGUUUUUCAUUUUUUCAUUUUUUUUUUGUUUGAUUUUGUUUUGGAAAAGUUUUUCAUGUGAUGGUUAAAUUUAACAAAUAAAAAUAAAUUUUAAUUUAUAGAUAAUUACAAUUUAUGCUUUUCAAAUUUACGAAUAAAUUUCUGCAUAUUUUUUAACUUCUACUAUUGAUAUUAUCAAUAUAUCGCAAAUCAAAUAUGAAUUUGUUUUUUUACAUAAAUCGAAUAUGAUCAUUUAUUAUAGUUUUUUAGAAGAUUAAAAAUAUAUCAAUCACACUAAUUUUUUUUACAGUUUUUUUAACAUUAAUAAUAUAUUGAUCUCUUUUGUCAAAAAAUAUAUUGAUUUCAUUUAUUAUACAUAUCACACAUCAAAAUAGAUAAUAACAUUGUAUAGAAAUGAUAGUAGAAGCUCAUUUGUCCAAUGAUUGAUGAAUGAUUUAUUACUGCUUUAACAUUGAGAGAUUUGAGUUUCAAAUCUCAAAAAAUAUUCUAACGUGUGUAAAAUUAUCGAUGUAAUAAUUUUUAUAAUUUAUAAUAAAAUAAUAGAUCAUUGUUAAUAUAUAUAUAUAUAUAUAUAUAUAUAAAUAUGAUAUAGAUCCUUCCACUUAUUAGUUAUUAGUUACCUUCCACUUAGAGCAGGUCCAACGCGGGGUUCAUGAAAGUUUAUAAGUGGGGUCAUAACCCAUAAUUGAUUUAAAAUAAAUCAAAAAGUCCAAAAUUGUUAUGAACCGCUCCUUUAGAAAGGAUUUUUAGAGACGGUUUAAGAGGGGUUCAUAUGCUACGUGUCAACAAUUUAUUGGCUAGGAUAUUUGUUUUUUCUUCUCUUCUUCUCUUCUUCCUCUGCUUGCGGGGUCAAUUUCAGAGGAACAAACAAUCAUUCCCUCUCUUCUUCUCCAUCUUCUUCUUCAUCUCAUCAACUCUUCUCCUUCUCUUUCUCUCUCCCCCGACGGCAUCUCCCUACUCUCUCUCAAAUCCGCCGUCGAUCAAUCUUCCAUCGCCUCCUUCUCCAUUUUCUCCGAUCGAAACGAUAACGACUCCGAUGCUUGCCAUUGGUCCUGUAUCUCCUGUAUGAACAUCUCCGACUCCUCCGGCUUUCGCGUCGUCGGAAUCUCACUCGCCGGAAAGCGUCUCCGCGGUUAUAUCCCCUCGGAGCUCUGCUCGCUAAUCUACCUCUACGGGAACAAUCUCUCUGGUUCUCUGCCUCCUUCGAUCUGUACCCUUCCUCUGCUUCAUAGUCUCUUCUUCCUCUGCUUGUGGAUUCAUUUUGAUUGUGUUAUCAGUGAUGAUAACUUAUCAGAACUUGUUGGUUUGAAUCAGAAUAGUUUUCGUAUGUUUUCUCUAUGUCUAAUAUCAAUUAUAAACCCCACAUAAGAAGUUCACCAUUGGAAGAACAAAUUUAGGAGUUCUAGCUUUUUAUUUCUGAAAAUUUUAAUAAUAAAAUAUUAUGGAUGAACUCUAUGAAGAGUUCACCAUUGUGGAUGCUCUUAUCUUUUAUUACUAUUCAAUGUUAGAGUUAACAACUCAUAAUCUUAUGUGAACAAGAGUUAAUCAGUUUACUUAAAACUCAACUGGUACACGAA
rnacentral:lncRNA from 1 species